UGAAAACAGAGAUACAAAACAAAAUUUGUAAAUUUUUCACAAUUUUUUCCCAAGUCUUGCUCCAAAACCUUUAUCGUCCAAAACCCCAAUUUCCAAACCAGUUUUAGUUUCCUCCAAAACCCUUAUCACCCAAAGCUCCUAGUUUCAUUUUCUUUUUCCCCCAAAAUCGCGACCAAAUCCUCUAUCUCCAUCUUAGUUUUAUGUUUCCCCAAUUCACAUCCCAUCCUCUUUCUUAGGUUUCCUCCCCAUUCGUGACCAUCCUCCAUUUCGGAUUCCUCCUCAUUCGUGAUCUCUCUCCAUCUCAAUUUACUCCUUGCAACCUCCCUUUGUCUCAAUUUGCUCCUCUAAUCCCUUUGUCUUUUUGUUGUCUUUUUCUUCUUGUUUGUGUUAUACAAGCUAUUUGCAGCGGUCCAACUUGAUUGUCAUCAAGCUCCACCUUGUGAAUAAAAUGGCAUCACCAAUCACCAUAUGAAUAUAUUCAACGCAAAACAAUGGAAGAGAAUUAAAAAGAUGGAGGCUCUCAAUCUGACUCAUCUCUCUUAAUCCCUUCACAAAUCUUCUUCUACCAUUUCAAAACCCUCAUCGGGUCUCCCGAGGCUUAUACUACCUGAGGAUCUUGAAGUAGACAAAAUGAAGCACCUGCAGAUACACGAUUUACCACCAACAGUCCAAACAACAACUCUGCCACCUACCCAGGUGACAACACAACCAACAAUGCAAGUGAUAAAACUACCACCUUUUCAGAUGACAACACCAUCAACACAAGCGACAAAACCACUACCUUAUCAUGUGACAACACCAUCAUCAGUCCAAGUGAUGGAAAUCAUUAUUUUGUUGCAUUGUCAUUUGUUUUCUACUAUAGGAUCUAAAACACUAGCAAGGAAGAAUGUUGAGUUGGUAGGAUUCACUCAAUCUACUAUUGAUUGUAUACUUAAUUGCACAAAUACUUAUUAUAUGUGUUUACUUGUAGAAAUUAAGAAGGUCGAAAAUA